rnacentral:rRNA from 1 species
CGCUUUCGAGCCUCAGCGUCAGUUACAAGCCAGAGAGCCGCUUUCGCCACCGGUGUUCCUCCAUAUAUCUACGCAUUUCACCGCUACACAUGGAAUUCCACUCUCCCCUCUUGCACUCAAGUUAAACAGUUUCCAAAGCGUACUAUGGUUAAGCCACAGCCUUUAACUUCAGACUUAUCUAACCGCCUGCGCUCGCUUUACGCCCAAUAAAUCCGGACAACGCUCGGGACCUACGUAUUACCGCGGCUGCUGGCACGUAGUUAGCCGUCCCUUUCUGGUAAGAUACCGUCACAGUGUGAACUUUCCACUCUCACACUCGUUCUUCUCUUACAACAGAGCUUUACGAUCCGAAAACCUUCUUCACUCACGCGGCGUUGCUCGGUCAGACUUCCGUCCAUUGCCGAAGAUUCCCUACUGCUGCCUCCCGUAGGAGUCUGGGCCGUGUCUCAGUCCCAGUGUGGCCGAUCACCCUCUCAGGUCGGCUAUGUAUCGUCGCCUUGGUGAGCCGUUACCCCACCAACUAGCUAAUACAACGCAGGUCCAUCUGGUAGUGAUGCAAUUGCACCUUUCAAGCAGAUAUCAUGCAAUAUCUACUGUUAUGCGGUAUUAGCUAUCGUUUCCAAUAGUUAUCCCCCGCUACCAGGCAGGUUACCUACGCGUUACUCACCCGUUCGCAACUCAUCCGGAGAAGCAAGCUCCUCCUUCAGCGUUCUACUUGCAUGUAUUAGGCACGCCGCCAGCGUUCGUCCUGAGCCAGGAUCAAACCCUC